rnacentral:rRNA from 1 species
UACAGAGGUCCCAAGCGUUAGGCGGAAUCACUGGGCUUAAAGCGCGUGUAGGCGGAUCGUUAAGUGCCUUGUGAAAUCCCACGGCUCAACCGUGGAACUGCUUGGCAUACUGGCGGUCUUGAGUCACCUAGGGGCCUGCGGAACAAACGGUGGAGCGGUGAAAUGCGUAGAUAUCGUUUGGAACGCCAACGGUGAAAACAGCAGGCUGGGGGUGUACUGACGCUGAGACGCGAAAGCCAGGGGAGCAAACAGG